AUUGAACGCUGGCGGCAGGCCUAACACAUGCAAGUCGAACGAGAGGCGGACGGGUGAUUAAUGUAUGGGAAACUGCCUGAGGGAGGGGGAUAACUAAUGGAAACGGUAGCCAAUAACGCAUACCAUCAGAUGUGCCCAGAUGGGUUUAGCUUGUUGUUGGGGUAACGGCUCACAAAGGCGACGAUCCGUAGCUGGUCUGAGAGGAUGACCAGCCACACUGGAACUGAGACACGGUCCAGACUCCUACGGGAGGCAGCAGUGGGGAAUAUUGCACAAUGGGCGCAAGCCUGAUGCAGCCAUGCCGCGUGUAUGAAGAAGGCCUUCGGGUUGUAAAGUACUUUUAGCGGGGAGGCGUUACCCGCAGAAGAAGCACCGGCUAACUACGUGCCAGCAGCCGCGGUAAUUC
rnacentral:rRNA from 1 species